rnacentral:rRNA from 1 species
CAGCAGCCGCGGGAAUACGUAGGGUGCAAGCGUUAAUCGGAAUUACUUGGCGUAAAGCGUGCGCAGGCGGUUUGUUAAGACAGAUGUGAAAUCUCCGGGCUCAACCUGGGAACUGCAUUUGUGACUGGCAAGCUAGAGUCUGGCAGAGGGGGGUGGAAUUCCGCGUGUAGCAGUGAAAUGCGUAGAUAUGCGGAGGAACACCGAUGGCGAAGGCAGCCCCCUGGGCCAACACUGACGCUCAUGCACGAAAGCGUGGGGAGCAAACAGGAUUAGAUACCCGUGUAGUCCCUGUCUCUUAUAC